AGGGCCUUAGUGAACUACUUACUGAACUGUAGGUUCAUGAGACUUAACUAAAUAAUAGCAAUAACUAUGUAUAAUAAAAUUAAUGUAAAAAAUUAUUUACAAAAAGUAAUUGAAAUUAAACAAUGUAAUCACUAAUUAUAUCAUGAAAACUAAAUAAUAAUAUUUGUUUUAAUAAAGUCCUAAUUAUUUUGGAUGGUUUGAUUUAUUUAAUAACUUAAGAAAAAAAACAAAUAUAAAUAUUCAAAUAGUAGUGUUAUU
rnacentral:lncRNA from 1 species